UCACCUGGAGAGCUUGUUAAAGUGCAGAUACUGAUUUAUCAGGCCUGAGAUUGUGCAUUUCUAACAAGUUCCCAG
rnacentral:miRNA from 1 species